rnacentral:rRNA from 1 species
UACGUAGGGGGCAGCGUUGUCCGGAUUCGAUUGGGCGUAAAGAGCGUGUAGGCGGCCAGGUAGGUCGGUUGUGAAAACUGGAGGCUCAACCUUCAGAGGUCGACCGAAACCAUCUGGCUAGAGUCCGGGAGAGGAGAGUGGAAUUCCUGGUGCAGCGGUGAAAUGCGCAGAUAUCAGGAAGAACACCCGUGGCGAAAGCGGCUCUCUGGAACGGUACUGACGCUGAUGCGCGACGAGCGUGGGGAGCAAACAGG